rnacentral:rRNA from 1 species
CGGACGGGUGAGUAACGCGUGAGGAACCCUGCCUUUCAGUGGGGGACAACAGUUGGAAACGACUGCUAAUACCGCAUAACGUACUGGUAUCGCAUGGUACUGGUACCAAAGAUUUAUCGCUGAGAGAUGGCCUCGCGUCUGAUUAGCUAGUUGGUAGGGUAACGGCCUACCAAGGCGACGAUCAGUAGCCGGACUGAGAGGUUGGCCGGCCACAUUGGGACUGAGAUACGGCCCAGACUCCUACGGGAGGCAGCAG